ACCCACUUGGUCCAAUCUGGUAGAGGCAUGAGGCUUAAGACUUCAGGGUUCCCGGUUCGAGUCCGGGAGUGGGUACCA
rnacentral:tRNA from 11 species